rnacentral:rRNA from 1 species
UACGUAGGGUGCAAGCGUUAAUCGGAAUUACUGGGCGUAAAGCGUGCGCAGGCGGUUAUGUAAGACAGUUGUGAAAGCCCCGGGCUUAACCCUGGGGAACUGCAUUUGGAUACUCUAGAGGCUUGAGUACGGGGAGAGGAGGAGUGGAAAUUCCCAGGUGUAGAGGGUGAAAAUUCGUAGAUAUUGGGAGGAACACCGGUGGCGAAGGCGACCAUCUGGACGAAGUACUGACGCUGAGACGCGAAAGCGUGGGUAGCAAACGAGGA